ensembl:lncRNA
AUACAACAAAGGCUUACUUAAAGACAUUCAAGCUAUAAUAACUGUAUUUAAAUACAUUUAGUUGGCUUAAGUCCCUGGUUAAUUGACACUGUGAUGAAAAUCAGCAAGUCAAUAUUUAUUGAGAACUUCAUGACGUGCAACAACAUGGGUGAUCUCAGAAAUAUGAAGCUGAGCGAAAGAAGCCAGACACGAAAGACUGCAUCCUGUCUGAAUCCAUUUCUAUGACGUUCUAGAACAGACAAGACUAAUCUAUGGUCAAAAAAAAAAAUUGAAAGAGUGGGGAGAUAGGAAGGUGGAGAGGAGCUGGGAAUGGCCUGAGGCCUCUUUUGAGGGAUGGAGAGAGGGAUAAGGAUCUGUCUCUUGAUAAGGCUUUGGAUUACACAAGUGUAUGCACUUGUCAGAAUUCUAUUAAAUAGUACACUUAAGAUUAGUGCAUUUCAUUGAGUGUUCAAAAAUAAAUUAGUAAUACUCAAACUAAGUUAGUUAUACGAGUGCUGAAGUAUUCAGAGGAAGAGAAAUGCUAUUUGCAACUUGAAAAUGCAUAAAAAAUUAGAGGGACUGAUGGAUGAAGAAGGCUGGAUCACUUGAUAUAUGCAGGAGCAAAAUAUUAAAGUGUUAGUGAUAGGAUCUAGGUGGUGGGCACACUGGUGUUCAUGUAAAAUUCUUUCAAACUUUUCUGUGUUGAAAAUUUUUCACUAUAAAAUGUUAAGGAAAAUAGCUAUUGAUGUGUCAGGUAUUAUUUAGGUCCACAGAAUAAUGGACUGAAUAAACUAGAGGGCAUGCUUCUAAGGGAUGAUGAUAGUUUUUUUUCUUUUUUUUGUAUUUCAAAUGUUGUUGUUGCUUAUCAACCAGAUGAUGAUAGUUUAGAUUGUGGUAGUGAACACACGGGGCUUCCCAGGUGGCGUGGUAAACAAUCCACCUGCCAAUGCAGGAGAUGUGACUUCUAUCCCUGGGUCAGGAAGAUCUCCUGGAGAAGGAAAUGGCAACCCACUCCAGUAUUCUUGCCUGCAGAAUCCCAUGGACAGAGGAGCCUGGCAGGGUACAGAGUUGGACAUGACUGAGCACACAUACAGUGAACACGAGGAAGGCAGUUUCAUUCCCCCACACUUUUUCUCCUAAUCCUUUCUUUCCAAUAAGUAAGAGUGAGAGUGAGGUUGCUUGGUCGUGUCCGACUCUUUGCGAUCACAUGGACUAUAGCCUACCAGGCUUCUUUGACCAUGGGAUUUUCCAGGCAAGAGUACCGGAGU